GACGAACGCUGGCGGCGUGCUUAACACAUGCAAGUCGAACGGAGUGGCGAACGGGUGAGUAACACGUGGGUUACCUGCCCUGCACUUCGGGAUAAGCCUGGGACACUGGGUCUAAUACCGGAUAGUGUGGGAUGGGCCCGCGGCCUAUGAGCUUGUUGGUGGGGUAAUGGCCUACCAAGGCGGCGACGGGUAGCCGGUCUGAGGGGGUGGACGGCCAAAUUGGGAAUGAGACACGGGCCAGAACCCUACGGGGGGCAGCAGGGGGGAAUAAUGCACAAUGGGCGGAAGAGUGAGGCAGAGACGCCGCGUGGGGGAGGACAGGCUUCGGGUUGUAAAAUCCUUUCACCAUCGACGCGGUAGAUGGAGAAGAAGCACCGGCUAACUACGUGCCAGCCGCCGCGGUAAUAC
rnacentral:rRNA from 1 species